UACGUAGGAGGCAAGCGUUGUCCGGAAUUACUGGGCGUAAAGCGCGUGUAGGCGGUCUGAAUAGUCUGCUGUGAAAGCGCCUGGCUUAACCGGGCGAGGUCGGCGGAAACUCUCAGACUGGAGGCCGGUAGAGGGGGGUGGAAUUCCCGGUGUAGUGGUGAAAUGCGUAGAGAUCGGGAGGAACACCUGUGGCGAAGGCGGCCCCCUGGGCCGCGCCUGACGCUGAGACGCGAAGGCUAGGGGAGCAAACGGG
rnacentral:rRNA from 1 species